GGUCUCGUAUUCUUCUCAUAUCUCGUGGUUUGGAAAAAAACGUUGUUGGUGAGGGGGUGUUGCUAUCCGACCCUACCCCAGGUGACACUGUUGACAUAGUAAGGGUUUUUGUUACAUCUGCUACUGUUCCGGAGGCUGCGCUUAUUCUACGGACAAUCUCCGGAGCACAAACACUCGGUGAGGUUGUCCGCGCCGAGCCAAUCGACUGGACAUUUAAAGAUCUUGUUCGUCGCCCAUAACUACGGUGUACGGCCACUUUGACGGUGCAUGGGGCGUUGCAGCAUGGCACGUGAUUCUAUGAUGAUUGACGUUUGUUUGUGGAUUGAUGCUAACUGAGUCCUUUAUGUUGGUUGAACUUGUUGUCUCUGCUAUAUUUUGUGUGUUUGUUGCUACGCUUUGCCAUAUAUGUUAGGCUAUAUUGCGAAAUAUUUAUGUUUCUACAGAGUGCGUACUUGCUACAACUUAUGGUGAUACAGAAUUGCCGUAAUAUUUCCAUAUUUUGUA